rnacentral:rRNA from 1 species
UCAGAGUGGGACUAAGCCAUGCGAGUCAACAUAGCAAUAUGUGGCAUACGGCUCAGUAACACGUAGUCAACAUGCCCAGGGGACGUGGAUAACCUCGGGAAACUGAGGAUAAACCGCGAUAAGUCACUGCUUCUGGAAUGGGCAAUGACUUAAAUCUAUAUGGCCCCUGGAUUGGACUGCGGCCGAUCAGGCUGUUGGUGAGGUAAUGGCCCACCAAACCUGUAACCGGUACGGGCUCUGAGAGGAGGAGCCCGGAGAUGGGCACUGAGACAAGGGCCCAGGCCCUAUGGGGCGCAGCAGGCGCGAAACCUCUGCAAUAGGCGAAAGCCUGACAGGG